CUGACGGUAGUCGUAUGCUCGUCUCCGAGACUAAGCCAUGCAAGUCCAAGUACACGUCCUUGAACGACGGAAACUGCGAACGGCUCAUUAAAUCAGUUGCGAUCUACUCGGCGUUCCGCGCCGCCGGAUAACCGUAGUAAUUCUAGGGCUAAUACGUGCGAAGCGCCCGAAGCCGCGAGGCGACGGGCGUUCUCGCCGGAUGUAGGAACCGACCCCGGGGACCGCCGGGGGCAACCCCGGGCGCCCCCGAGACGGGGCGAACCACGGUGAAAUGACGGAUCGUCGGCCCCGCGCCGGCGACUCGCCGAAUGAGUUUCUGACCUAUCAACUCGAGACGGCGGGGUAGAGGCCCGCCGCGGUAACGACGGGUAACGGGGGAAUCAGGGUUCGAUUCCGGAGAGGGAGCCCGAGAAACGGCUACCACUUCCAAGGAAGGCAGC
rnacentral:rRNA from 1 species